UGUGCUUGUAGUCCCAGCUACUCGGGAUGCUGAGGUGGGAGGAUCGCUUGAGCCCAGGAGUUCUGGGCUGUAGUGCGCUAUGCCGAUCGGGUGUCCGCACUAAGUUCGGCAUCAAUAUGGUGACCUCCCGGGAGCGGGGGACCACCAGGUUGCCUAAGGAGGGGUGAACCGGCCCAGGUCGGAAACGGAGCAGGUCAAAACUCCCGUGCUGAUCAGUAGUGGGAUCGCGCCUGUGAAUAGCCACUGCACUCCAGCCUGAGCAACAUAGCGAGACCCCGUUCGGGAGGCUGAGGCUGGAGGAUCCCUUGAGUUCAGGAGUUCUGGGCUGUAGUGCGCUAUGCCGAUCGGGUGUCCGCACUGAGUUCGGCAUCAAUAUGGUGACCUCCCGGGAGCGGGGGACCACCAGGUUGCCUAAGGAGGGGUGAACCGGCCCAGGUCGGAAACGGAGCAGGUCAAAACUCCCGUGCUGAUCAGUAGUGGGAUUGCGCCUGUGAAUAGCCACUGCACUCCAGCCUGGGCAACAUAGUGAGACCCUG
rnacentral:lncRNA from 1 species